AUUGAACGCUGGCGGCAGGCCUAACACAUGCAAGUCGAACGAGUGGCGGACGGGUGAGUAAUAUCUGGGAAACUGCCUUAUAGCGGGGGAUAACUACUGGAAACGGUAGCUAAUACCGCAUACCAUCGGAUGUGCCCAGAUGGGAUUAGCUAGUAGGGGGGGUAAAGGCUCACAUAGGCGACGAUCCCUAGCUGGUCUGAUAGGAUGACCAGCCACACUGUAACUGAGACACGGCACAGACUCCUCCGGGAGGCAGCAGUGGGGAAUAUUGCACAAUGGGCGCAAGCCUAAUCCAGCCAUGCCGCGUGUAUGAAGAAGGCCUUCGGGUUGUAAAGUACGUUAAGCAGGGAGGCGUUAUCCGCAGAAUAAGCACCGGCUAACUCCGUGCAAGCAGCCGCGGUAAUAC
rnacentral:rRNA from 1 species